rnacentral:rRNA from 1 species
UUUCGGGGUGGGUCGACCGGUCUGCCGAUGGGUACGCACUGGCCGACGCGUCCUUCCUUCCGGAGACCGUCUCACUCUUAACUGAGCGGAGGCGGGAGACGGAACGUUUACUUUGAAAAAAUCAGAGUGUUUCAAGCAGGCAGCUCGCUUUUGCAUGGAUUAGCAUGGGAUAAUGAAAUAGGACUUUGGUGCUAUUUUGUUGGUUUCGAACACCGAAGUAAUGAUGAGAAGGGACAGUCAGGGGCACUCGUAUUCCGCCGAGAGAGGUGAAAUUCUCAGACCAGCGGAAGACGAACCACUGCGAAAGCAUUUGCCAGGGAUGUUUUCACUGAUCAAGAACGAAAGUUAGGGGAUCGAAGACGAUCAGAUACCGUCGUAGUCUUAACCAUAAACCAUGCCGACUAGGGAUUGGAGGAUGUUCACUUAUUGACUUCUUCAGCACCUUACGGGAAACUAAAGUCUUUGGGUUCCGGGGGGAGUAUGGUCGCAAGGCUGAAACUUAAAGGAAUUGACGGAAGGGCACCACCAGGUGUGGAGCCUGCGGCUUAAUUUGACUCAACACGGGGAAACUUACCAGGUCCAGACAUUGUGAGGAUUGACAGAUUGAGAGCUCUUUCUUGAUUCGAUGGGUGGUGGUGCAUGGCCGUUCUUAGUUGGUGGAGUGAUUUGUCUGGUUAAUUCCGUUAACGAACGAGACCUUAGCCUGCUAAAUAGUGACGCGAACACUUCGUUCGCGGUCCACUUCUUAGAGGGACAACUUGUCUUCAACAAGUGGAAGUU